AUUUAUGUUAUACGUGAUUAAAAAACUUCAAUGUAACUGAUCUCAAAAAACCUUAUCUACAGUAUUAUUUACAAUUAUUUAUUAACUACUUAUAUAUUAGUAUAUAUAAGUACAAUCAAUUAUUAAUAAUAUUCAGACGCUAUUCAAGACAGAAUAAUUUUUUACAAUUAGAUCAAACGACAAACUUUUUUGAGAAGUUAGAAGAAUUAGUUUACUAGGUGACGCGUAAAAAAUUGGUUUAAAAAUUGCAUUUGGUCGGAAUCGUAGAGAAAAUAGCAAAGGCCGCUUUUUACAACCUUUGUAUUUGAGACUGUGAUCUUUACUAUUAUCUAACUACUAUUUAAAGAUUUUUAUAUUCUCCGAUGCCUUGUUUGUACGUCAGCUGAUUUCGAUAAAAUUUUCAUCGUGUGCACAGCAAAGCAUUGGCAAAGAAAAUCGUAAAUUUUUCUUUCCGAUUAACCCCCCCCCCCAUCACUACAUUGCUAUGUUUUAGCCAUAUUGAGGCUCAAUAGUUCAAUGAAAUAUCCUAUGUUAUUUGAAAAUAUUUUGAUACUAAUAUCCCCAAAAUAAAAUAAACAAAAUAAGUAAUUUUUUGUAAUAAAAUCUAAUAUACGAACAUUCAAAUGAAGAAGGUCACACAAUCUUACACGAUAAAUACAUUCGUUUGAAAUAAUUACGUAAUAAAUGACAUACAUUAAUUAAUGAAAACCAUAGAAACAACGUCAAUUUACAGAUAUAAUUGAAAGAUUAAGAAAAAAGUCAACUGAUGAAGAACACGGAGGAAUUAUUGCUAUGAAAAAACAACUGUUUCAAACACCAGAAAGAUGACAAAUUGCAAUUUGGCUAUGUUUGCGAAAACCCAGUUCAAUGGGAACAAAGAUUCGAAGAAAAAGAUCUUCCGAAUAAUCGACAUCGUGGAAAGGUCAAGUGGGCAAAUAUAGAUGGCAGCUAUGGUGAGCACUACUGGGACUUAAAUCAUAAGUAAUCUUUAUACAGAAAUGUAUAAACUAAUCAUCAUUACAGUUCUGUAAAUCCAUUCUAUAAAUGUUAAUUGGGACAUAACUUAUGUAUAUUUACAAUCAUGUAUGUUACAAAAUAAGCAUCAUAUUUACUUCUCCAUAUGUGUCUGUUUAAUUAAAAUUUUAUACAAGGUAUUCCUCCUAUAUGAACAAAAUCAAAGUCGUUGAUUUAUGAUCAAUCAAACUUUAUUGAUUCUUUGAAAAUCUUAUAAAAUGACAAAAGAAUAUUAUAUACUCGCUAUUAUUUCUCUAAUUAUUGAAAAUGUGUAGAAGAUCGUAACUUCAUCGUAAUACGGUGCGAUCAAAAAGACAACCUUAUUUGAAAGAAUCUUGCAAUAGGUAUCAAAAGCACUUUACUCUGGUAGAUAACAAAGCAAUCUGGUUUGAAAUUUAUUUUAUGAAACCCUUAACUUUAACACCUUUAAACUUAAAUACGUAGGGUUUUGUAUAUGCUAGCGUGAAUCACCUUUCAGUAUUGCCUGUAUGGCGCAGCACUAGUCCAGAAACAACCUGAAC